rnacentral:rRNA from 1 species
CAAUAGCGUAUAUUAAAGUUGUUGCGGUUAAAAAGCUCGUAGUUGGAUUUCUGCUGAGAACGACCGGUCCGCCCUCUGGGUGUGUAUCUGGCUCUUUCUUGGCAUCUUCUUGGUGAACGUUGCUGCACUUGACUGUGUGGAGCGCUACCCAGGACUUUUACUUUGAGGAAAUUAGAGUGUUUCAAGCAGGCAUACGCCUUGAAUACAUUAGCAUGGAAUAAUAAGAUAGGACCUCGGUUCUAUUUUGUUGGUUUCUAGAGCUGAGGUAAUGAUUAAUAGGGAUAGUUGGGGGCAUUCGUAUUUAACUGUCUGAGGUGAAAUUCUUGGAUUUGUUAAAGACGGACUACUGCGAAAGCAUUUGCCAAGGAUGUUUUCAUUGA